rnacentral:rRNA from 1 species
GACGAACGCUGGCGGCGUGCCUAAUACAUGCAAGUCGAACGCUGAAGGAGGAGCUUGCUUCUCUGGAUGAGUUGCGAACGGGUGGGUAACGCGUAGGUAACCUGCCUGGUAGCGGGGGAUAACUAUUGGAAACGAUAGCUAAUACCGCAUAAUAUUGACUAUUGCAUGAUAGUCAGUUGAAAGGUGCAACUGCACCACUACCAGAUGGACCUGCGUUGUAUUAGCUAGUUGGUGGGGUAACGGCUCACCAAGGCGACGAUACAUAGCCGACCUGAGAGGGGGAUCGGCCACACUGGGACUGAGACACGGCCCAGACUCCUACGGGAGGCAGCAGUAGGGAAUCUUCGGCAAUGGACGGAAGUCUGACCGAGCAACGCCGCGUGAGUGAAGAAGGUUUUCGGAUCGUAAAGCUCUGUUGUAAGAGAAGAACGAGUGUGAGAGUGGAAAGCUCACACUGUGACGGUAUCUUACCAGAAAGAGACGGCUAACUACGUG